rnacentral:tRNA from 1 species
GGGGAUGUGGUGAAAUUGGCAGACACGCCAGAUUUAGGUUCUGGUUCUUCGGAGUGCGAGUUCGAGUCUCGCCAUCCCCA